CUUUGACCUUGUGGUUGUUUUAUAGGCUCCUCAUCAGAACACCUUAUAUCCUUAGCUGAGGUUCCUAUGUUCCCCAGAAACCAUAAGCCCCCUUAACUUUGCUCUGAUUUUUCUGACUGCUUUCUACACUUACUGAUAGUAGCACAACACCUUAGAAACCUGGAUCUUGAUGACAUCUGCACACAGCUUAAAGAGAAUAUUGGCUUCAACAUGCCACAAUUUAGACAUAUUUGGGGCUGGCCAUCUAGAAAUGGACUUUGGACUUGAAAUUCCCAGAACCCUCAGCAACACAGCGUCCCUCCACUCUGAUCCACAUGCUGUGGUCCAGGCGUAAGGUAGUGUGUCUGAGAGAACACUGUGAGGGACUCGGUCAGCUCACUGGACUCGGCUUCUCAUACUGUCUAAAUGUGAGCUCGGUGCUGGGUCUGUGUCCUGAUGACGCCACAGCCACUUCCUGUUGUGCAAAAACCAAGCUAUCAAGUUUGAACUGCUUUGAACUGCCAUCUUGAAUAUAGAGAAAUGGAGCACAGACGCUGGCCUGGUGCCCCCUUCUCCCAGUGUGAAGAAAUGGACGUCUGACUAGCAAGUUCCCUCUCAAAGUUUCAAGACUCCCAUAGUAAGAAAAGAAGAAAGCCAGAUGGUUCCAGUUUUGUUUGUGGAAGCAACCACAGAGGACUCACACUGAGCCCAGCUGCCUCUUCACCCUUGCAGGUUUCUGUGGGUUGUACCUGUUCCUCUUGGUUCUCCAUUGUUCCUUGUCCAUCAGUGGGUAGACAAACGUCAAUUAUUUCUGGUAAGAGGAAAAGAAGACUAACAUUCAGAAAGCCGUGCUGAGGGGACAUCCCAGAGUAUCUCAACCAUGGUGGAGUGCAUUUUGAGGAAAUGAUAGACGAUCUGGAUGAGGAAGGCAAGCAGGUUAUAGGCACUAUGUGGGUGCUGCUAGGAUUCCAAAUGAGCUACACACACAUACACACACACACACACACACACACACACACACCCCUUCAUACCUGUGAUUUGUGCACAUACAGCCUGUGUAAGUUCCUCAGAAGUCAAAGUUGAAAGCAUCCAUCUGUACUGUCCCGAGGCCAC
rnacentral:lncRNA from 1 species